CGAUAAGUAGACCGCCUGGGGAGUACGGCCGCAAGGUUAAAACUCAAAUGAAUUGACGGGGGCCCGCACAAGCGGUGGAGCAUGUGGUUUAAUUCGAUGCAACGCGAAGAACCUUACCAGGUCUUGACAUCCUCGGAACUUGGCAGAGAUGCCUUGGUGCCUUCGGGAGCCGAGUGACAGGUGCUGCAUGGCCGUCGUCAGCUCGUGUCGUGAGAUGUUGGGUUAAGUCCCGUAACGAGCGCAACCCUUGUCCUUAGUUGCCAGCACGUCAUGGUGGGAACUCUAGGGAGACUGCCGGUGACAAACCGGAGGAAGGUGGGGACGACGUCAGGUCAUCAUGGCCCUUACGACCUGGGCUACACACGUGCUACAAUGGCUGGUACAGAGGGUUGCGAAGUCGCGAGGCGAAGCUAAUCCCUUAAAGCCAGUCGUAGUCCGGAUCGGAGUCUGCAACUCGACUCCGUGAAGUCGGAAUCGCUAGUAAUCGCGGAUCAGAAUGCCGCGGUGAAUACGUUCCCGGGCCUUGUACACACCGCCCGUCACACCAUGGGAGUGGAUUGCACCAGAAGUGGCUAGUCUAACUACGGAGG
rnacentral:rRNA from 1 species